AUGGGGGGGAAAAAAAAGUUACAGGGGUGUGACCAAUCCGAGAGCAGGAAAAGCCUCUCCAGGCCCUUUUCAUAUCAUAUAUUUCCUUCUAUAUAUAAUGUAAUUCCAAGGUGGUUUUUUGGGUAAGGUAACUCCCUGGCUUUUCGAACCAUGUUCCAACUUUUAGGACCUGAAAUUAGACUUGCUUGUGGCCUCUUAGUUUUCUAAGAAUCCACCAUUUUUUUUUUUUUUUGAUAGUUACGAUUUAUUUAACCAAUCUA
rnacentral:lncRNA from 1 species